rnacentral:rRNA from 1 species
AUUGAACGCUGGCGGCGUGCUUAACACAUGCAAGUCGAUCGGUAACAGGUGUAGCAAUACAUGCUGACGAGAGGCGGACGGGUGAGGAAUAUUUGGGAAUCUGCCCAUCAGCGGGGGACAACCCGGGGAAACCCGGGCUAAUACCGCAUACGCUCUACGGAGGAAAGCCGGGGACCGCAAGGCCUGGCACUGAUGGAUGGGCCCAAAUCGGAUUAGCUAGUUGGCGGGGUAACGGCCCACCAAGGCGACGAUCCGUAGCUGGUCUGAGAGGACGAUCAGCCACACCGGAACUGAGACACGGUCCGGACUCCUACGGGAGGCAGCAGUGGGGAAUAUUGGACAAUGGGGGAAACCCUGAUCCAGCGACGCCGCGUGGGUGAAGAAGGCCUGCGGGUUGUAAAGCCCUUUCGGUAGGGACGAAAGCUCUUGCUCUAAUAAUGCAAGAGGUUGACUUAACCUACAUAAGAAGCACCGGCUAACUCUGUGCCAGCAGCCGCCGCAG